rnacentral:rRNA from 1 species
CCGUAAACGAUGCCAACUAGCGAUCCGCCGGUGGAUUUUUAGCCCUGGUGGGUAGCUUCCCGGAAACGAAAGUCUUCCGGUUCCGGGGGAAGUAUGGUUGCAAAGCUGAAACUUAAAGGAAUUGACGGAAGGGCACCACCAGGAGUGGAGCCUGCGGCUUAAUUUGACUCAACACGGGGAAACUCACCCGGCCCGGACACCGUAAGGAUUGACAGAUUGAUAGCUCUUUCAUGAUUCGGUGGUUGGUGGUGCAUGGCCGUUCUUAGUUCGUGGAUCGAUUUGUCUGGUUUAUUCCGAUAACGAGCGAGACUCUAGCCUACUAAAUAGUAACGAGAUUAUCAAUGUCUCAGUUGCUUCUUAGAGGGAUUUUCGGUGUUUAGCCGCACGAGAUUGAGCAAUAACAGGUCUGUGAUGCCCUUAGAUGUCCGGGGCUGCACGCGCGCUACACUGGCGAAAUCAGCGUGCUGUAUCCAUUCUCGAAAGGGAUUGGUAAACCCAUGAAAAUUUGCCGUGCUUGGGAUCGGAAAUUGCAAUUAUUUUCCGUGAACGAGGAAUUCCAAGUAAGUGCGAGUCAUCAACUCGCUCUGAUUACGUCCCUG